CCUACGGGAGGCAGCAGUGGGGAAUAUUGGACAAUGGGGGCAACCCUGAUCCAGCCAUGCCGCGUGUGUGAAGAAGGCCCUCGGGUUGUAAAGCACUUUCAGUGAGGAAGAACGCCUGGUGGUUAAUACCCAUCAGGAAAGACAUCACUCACAGAAGAAGCACCGGCUAACUCCGUGCCAGCAGCCGCGGUAAUACGGAGGGUGCGAGCGUUAAUCGGAAUUACUGGGCGUAAAGCGCGCGUAGGUGGCUUGAUAAGCCGGUUGUGAAAACCCCGGGCUCAACCUGGGAACGGCAUCCGGAACUGUCAAGCUAGAGUGCAGGAGAGGAAGGUAGAAUUCCCGGUGUAGCGGUGAAAUGCGUAGAGAUCGGGAGGAAUACCAGUGGCGAAGGCGGCCUUCUGGACUGACACUGACACUGAGGUGCGAAAGCGUGGGUAGCAAACAGGAUUAGAUACCCCAGUAGUC
rnacentral:rRNA from 1 species